GACGUAGGGCGCGAGCGUUGUCCGGAUUUAUUGGGCGUAAAGAGCUCGUAGGCGGCUUGUUGCGUCGGCUGUGAAAACCCGCAGCUCAACUGUGGGCUUGCAGCCGAUACGGGCAGGCUUGAGUUCGGUAGGGGAGACUGGAAUUCCUGGUGUAGCGGUGAAAUGCGUUGAGAUCGGAAGGAACGCCCGUGGCGAAAGCGAGGUCCUGGACGUUUUCUGACGCUGAGACGGCGAAAAGCCAGGGGGAGCGAACGGG
rnacentral:rRNA from 1 species